rnacentral:rRNA from 1 species
UACGGAGGAUUCGAGCGUUAUCCGGAUUUAUUGGGUUUAAAGGGUCCGUAGGCGGGCUUGUAAGUCAGUGGUGAAAUCCCGGAGCUCAACUCCGGAACUGCCAUUGAUACUGCAGGUCUUGAAUUUAGUUGAGGUGGGCGGAAUACGUUAUGUAGCGGUGAAAUGCAUAGAUAUAACGUAGAACACCGAUUGCGAAGGCAGCUCACUAAGCUACUAUUGACGCUGAUGGACGAAAGCGUGGGGAGCGAACAGG